rnacentral:rRNA from 1 species
UUGAUCCUGGCUCAGAAUCAACGCUGGCGGCGUGCCUAACACAUGCAAGUCGAACGCGAAAGUCCCGCAAGGGAUGAGUAGAGUGGCAAACGGGUGAGUUACACGUGGGUGACCUGCCCUCGAGCGGGGGAUAACGUCCCGAAAGGGACUCUAAUACCGCAUGACAUCCUGCUUUUGAACAGGCGGAGAUCAAAGCUGGUGAUCGCAAGACCUAGCACUCGAGGAGGGGCCCGCGCCUGAUUAGCUAGUUGGUGAGGUAACGGCUCACCAAGGCUUCGAUCAGUAUCCGGCCUGAGAGGUCGGACGGACACACUGGGACUGAGACACGGCCCAGACUCCUACGGGAGGCUGCAGUGGGGAAUUGUUCGCAAUGGGCGCAAGCCUGACGACGCAACGCCGUGUGGAGGAUGAAGACCUUCGGGUCGUAAACUCCUUUCGAUCGAGACGAAUGGCCUCCGGGUGAACAAUCCGGAGGAGUGACGGUACCGAGAGAAGAAGCUCCGGCUAACUCCGUGCCAGCAGCCGCGGUAAUAAGGU